CUUAAUUAUCAGGGAGGUGAGAGAAGAUUUUAUAAUAGUGAAGCGGAGACAGCAGGUGACACCUUAUGUCAACAACAGAAGAUAGAUCGUUCUAGUGAUAAGGAGGAGAGUUGGAUUUUUUCGGUUGGGCGCCAGGUAUGACGGGAGUGAUACCAAGGAGGGGGUUUUUGGAGGCAGGAAGCUGAGAUAGGCGAAACCACAGAAAAUACACCAUCGUGAAUUUUGAAAACCAUUUUAUUACCACUUACAUCAGAUGGCGAGGCGUCCAGUUCGUGGCCAGACUGGCAGCUGGGUUGCGAAUCGUAGGUGGGCGACGGGCGAGCUAAGCUUCGGGUUGAGCCAAACCUGGGCUGGGUUGAGCGAGCAAGAACCUUCUCCAGGAGGGUUGACCUGGAUCCUGGAAGGAGUUUGGGCAACGGGAAAAAAAGAGAGAGUAGGCGACAGUCGCACGAGCUAACACAGGCUGACCUGACCGACUGUCGGCCGCGUCGUCGCUCGGGGUUUCGUGUCCUCUCAGGGGAUUCCGUCGCGAAUCAGUGUGGAUUCGUUGCCGACGUUAAGUGAUAAAAAUCACGGACCGCGCAAACUGGUCGAGGUUCAAACAACAAACACAACACACGACCACGGCA